GUCACAGUGGCUGACAGGUUAAGGCGUUGGACUCGAAAUCUAAUGGGGUUUCCCGGCACAGGUUCAAAUCCUGUCCAUGACG
rnacentral:tRNA from 1 species